GUGCAGCAGAAAACACUCAUCCAGAGAAGAGAGCUAGUCUUUCAUUCAUGGAUGCUUCUUGUUGGAUCCUGCAGAAAGCACCAGGCCUUGGAGUGGUGCCUUCUUCCCCCUCGUGUUUUUCCUUCUAGCGGCUGUGUCCCUCUCUCACUCCACUUGUAACCAAAAGCAGCCAGUUUUUGACAGCAACUGUUCUGUUGGGGCCAGAAAAAAAAAUGUGGAGGCUGAGCCCUUGCUUUGACGGCCAACUGAACAACCUGGGCCAGCCAGAUUAUCUGAAGGGAACCAAUCACUCCAAAUCUAUGCACAAGCCUAC
rnacentral:lncRNA from 11 species